CCCUUAGAUGUUCUGGGCCGCACGCGCGCUACACUGACGAAUGCAACGAGCUUAUAACCUUGGCCGAAAGGUCUGGGUAAUCUCCAAAUUUCGUCGUGAUGGGGAUAGAUUAUUGCAAUUAUUAAUCUUCAACGAGGAAUGCCUAGUAAGCGCAAGUCAUCAGCUUGCGUUGAUUACGUCCCUGCCCUUUGUACACACCGCCCGUCGCUCCUACCGAUUGAAUGGUCCGGUGAAGCGUUCGGACCGCGACAAGGCGGACGGUUCGCUGUCAGCUUUGCUGCGGGAAGUUCAUUAAACCUUAUCAUUUAGAGGAAGGAGAAGUCGUAACA
rnacentral:rRNA from 1 species